rnacentral:misc_RNA from 1 species
GGAGAGGAUCAUGUUGGAUGGUUCCCCUGAGAGCCCGCUGGAGUACAUUCAGGUUCAGAUUUCAGAUGUGGAGUCUAAAUUCCCUAGUGCGGUAUCUGAGACAGGAGAGGUUAAAGUUGAAGGCCAGAUCAAGGAUGGAAUACCGCAUUUGACUAAGGUAGGGACGUUCCAGGUGGAUGUAAGCAUGGAAGGAAGCCUGAUUCUGUGCAGGCAGGUUGAUCAGCCUGGAAUGAUCGGGCAAGUUGGGAGCAUCUUGGGUGAGCAGAAUGUAAAUGUGAGCUUCAUGAGCGUUGGCAGAAUUGCUCCUCGAAAACAUGCUGUUAUGGCUAUUGGUGUAGAUGAAGAACCCAGCAAAGAAGCUCUUGAUAGUAUCGGUC